rnacentral:rRNA from 1 species
CACGUAGGGCGCGAGCGUUGUCCGGAAUUAUUGGGCGUAAAGAGCUCGUAGGCGGCCUGUUGCGUCCGCUGUGAAAGCCCGGGGCUUAACCCCGGGUCGGCAGUGGGUACGGGCAGGCUAGAGGUAGGUAGGGGAGAAUGGAAUUCCCGGUGUAGCGGUGAAAUGCGCAGAUAUCGGGAGGAACACCGGUGGCGAAGGCG